rnacentral:snRNA from 1 species
UCGCUUCAGCAGCACAUGUACUAAAAAUUGGAGUGAUACAGAGAAGAUUAGCAUGGACCCUGCACAAGAAUGACACACACAUUUAUGAAGCAUUCCAUAUAAAA